rnacentral:rRNA from 1 species
GUAGGUGGCAAGCGUUGUCCGGAAUUAUUGGGCGUAAAGCGCGCGCAGGCGGUUCUUUAAGUCUGAUGUGAAAGCCCACGGCUCAACCGUGGAGGGUCAUUGGAAACUGGAGAGCUUGAGUACAGAAGAGGAAAGCGGAAUUCCACGUGUAGCGGUGAAAUGCGUAGAGAUGUGGAGGAACACCAGUGGCGAAGGCGGCUUUCUGGUCUGUAACUGACGCUGAGGCGCGAAAGCGUGGGGGGAGCAAACAGGAUUAGAUACCCUGGUAGUCCACGCCGUAAACGAUGAGUGCUAAGUGUUAGGGGGUUUACGCCCCCCCCUUAGUGCUGCAGCUAACGCAUUAAGCACUCCGCCUGGGAGUACGGCCGCAAGGCUG